UACAGAGGGUGCAAGCGUUGUUCGGAAUUAUUGGGCGUAAAGCGCGUGUAGGCGGCGUGACAAGUCGGGUGUGAAAGCCCUCAGCUCAACUGAGGAAGUGCGCCCGAAACUGUCGUGCUUGAGUGCCGGAGAGGGUGGCGGAAUUCCCCAAGUAGAGGUGAAAUUCGUAGAUAUUGGGAAGAACACCGGUGGCGAAGGCGGCUCACUGGCUCAUUUCUGACGCUCAGGCGCGACAGCGUGGGGAUCAAACAGG
rnacentral:rRNA from 1 species